GACGAACGCUGGCGGCGUGCCUAAUACAUGCAAGUAGAACGCACAGUUUAUACCGUAGCUUGCUCCACCAUAGACUGUGAGUUGCGAACGGGUGAGUAACGCGUAGGUAACCUGCCUGGUAGCGGGGGAUAACUAUUGGAAACGAUAGCUAAUACCGCAUAAUAUUGAUUAUUGCAUGAUAAUUGAUUGAAAGAUGCUAUUGCAUCACUACCAGAUGGACCUGCGUUGUAUUAGCUAGUAGGUGAGGUAACGGCUCACCUAGGCGACGAUACAUAGCCGACCUGAGAGGGUGAUCGGCCACACUGGGACUGAGACACGGCCCAGACUCCUACGGGAGGCAGCAGUAGGGAAUCUUCGGCAAUGGACGAAAGUCUGACCGAGCAACGCCGCGUGAGUGAAGAAGGUUUUCGGAUCGUAAAGCUCUGUUGUAAGAGAAGAACGGGUGUGAGAGUGGAAAGUUCACACUGUGACGGUAUCUGACCAGAAAGGGACGGCUAACUACGUG
rnacentral:rRNA from 1 species